rnacentral:rRNA from 1 species
GACGAACGCUGGCGGCGUACCUAAUACAUGCAAGUUGAGCGCUGAAGGUUGGUACUUGUACCAACUGGAUGAGCAGCGAACGGGUGAGUAACGCGUGGGGAAUCUGCCUUUGAGCGGGGGACAACAUUUGGAAACGAAUGCUAAUACCGCAUAAAAACUUUAAACACAAGUUUUAAGUUUGAAAGAUGCAAUUGCAUCACUCAAAGAUGAUCCCGCGUUGUAUUAGCUAGUUGGUGAGGUAAAGGCUCACCAAGGCGAUGAUACAUAGCCGACCUGAGAGGGUGAUCGGCCACAUUGGGACUGAGACACGGCCCAAACUCCUACGGGAGGCAGCAGUAGGGAAUCUUCGGCAAUAGACGAAAGUCUGACCGAGCAACGCCGCGUGAGUGAAGAAGGUUUUCGGAUCGUAAAACUCUGUUGGUAGAGAAGAACGUUGGUGAGAGUGGAAAGCUCAUCAAGUGACGGUAACUACCCAGAAAGGGACGGCUAACUACGUG